CAGCCGCCGCGGUAAAACCAGCACCUCAAGUGGUCUGGAUGAUUAUUGGGCCUAAAGCAUCCGUAGCCUGCUUUGCCAGUUUUCGGUUAAAUCCAUACGCUCAACGUAUGGGCCGCCGGGAAUACUACAAAGCUAGGGAGUGGGAGAGGUAGACGGUACUCGGUAGGAAGGGGUAAAAUCCUUUGAUCUAUUGAUGACCACCUGUGGCGAAGGCGGUCUACCAGAACACGUCCGACGGUGAGGGAUGAAAGCUGGGGGAGCAAACCGGAUUAGAUACCCGGGUAGUCCCAGCUGUAAACUAUGCAAACUCGGUGAUGCAUUGGCUUGAUGCCAAUGCAGCGCCGCAGGGAAGCCGUUAAGUUUGCCGCCUGGGAAGUACGUACGCAAGUAUGGAACUUAAAGGAAUUGGCGGGGGAGCAC
rnacentral:rRNA from 2 species